AUGUCAACCUCGUGUGGGACUAAUCGUUUUCAUUUACCAUCUCAUGGAAAACCCUUUUCGUUCCGCUUAGCCCUAUCGGGUAUUUUAGUGAUAGGUUCUGUAGGAACUGGACGAUCCUAUUUGGUCAAAUACCUAACGAAAAAUUACGAUUUUCCUUUCAUUAAGGUACGAGGGCUUCUUAUUCCACAAGAACGAAAGCACCUUUUCAUUCUUUCAUAUACUAGGGGUUUUUACUUGGAAAAGACAAUGUUCCAUACUAAAGGAUUGAUGUUCGGAGAUUGUCGAAUGUGA
rnacentral:rRNA from 1 species